rnacentral:rRNA from 1 species
GACGAACGCUGGCGGCGUGCCUAAUACAUGCAAGUAGAACGCUGAAGAGAGGAGCUUGCUCUUCUUGGAUGAGUUGCGAACGGGUGAGUAACGCGUAGGUAACCUGCCUUGUAGCGGGGGAUAACUAUUGGAAACGAUAGCUAAUACCGCAUAACAAUGGAUGACACAUGUCAUUUAUUUGAAAGGGGCAAUUGCUCCACUACAAGAUGGACCUGCGUUGUAUUAGCUAGUAGGUGAGGUAAUGGCUCACCUAGGCGACGAUACAUAGCCGACCUGAGAGGGUGAUCGGCCCAACUGGGACUGAGACACGGCCCAGACUCCUACGGGAGGCAGCAGUAGGGAAUCUUCGGCAAUGGGGGCAACCCUGACCGAGCAACGCCGCGUGAGUGAAGAGGGUUUUCGGAUCGUAAAGCUCUGUUGUAAGUCAAGAACGGGUGUGAGAGUGGAAAGUUCACACUGUGACGGUAGCUUACCAGAAAGGGACGGCUAACUACGUG